rnacentral:lncRNA from 1 species
ACAGCACCAGCCCCUCCGGGCGGAGAACAACAAGGUCUAUUGGUCUAUGUAAUGCUGGUGCCAAACAAUAAGAAAAACCAACAAAACACUGACCUUGGUCCACAGACAACACCCACGUCCACGUGGUGGGUGGGACUGGCUCCGUCAGAGGAUGGGAAGAUGAGAAGUGCUUGUCGCAGGCCUGGAGAUGGGGACCACCCAGGCAUGCAGGGGAUGCUGCCUCUCCUCCAUCCAACAACAAGCCUGCGUGUGCCCAGCCCCCUCUGGUACACGCAUUGCUCCCCAUCCUCGGCAUUGAUCAAUUGAAAAUAAGACCUUGGAAGAACCCCUUGCAAAGCUGACAUUGUACGAGCCAAGGCAGUGAGCCUCACAGGGUCAGGGGGAAGACAGGGGAUCCCGAAGAUAACGUCUGCUACGAACUCAAUUGCAUCCGCCCCGGGCCCUAAGUUGAAGCCCUAAUCCCCACGUUGACUGCAUUUGGAGAAGGACCUUCAGCACAUGAUGGAGGUGGCCCCGGAGAGGGUCAGCGAGGGGCCUCCACUGUCUGAGUCCGCUCCUGGCAACGCCUGCUCUCUGCACUCAGAGGCCCGGUCCCGGCAGCUGCCACGUUGCUCAGAAGUUCUGGCAGGGGGAGCCUGAAACCCCUGUCUGCUGGCGACACUCCCGGAGCAGCAGGAAAUCUCUACAUUUUAUUUUUUUUCUUAACAGACAAAAGUAUUUGACUCCAGAAUGAUUUCCAGGAAUUACAGUAUGAGAACUUAGUCUUUGAGAUUUUUAUUUUCUUCUUAAAAAAAUAAAAAUGAAAUCAAAGCAGAAGACACUGGUUGAGCAGACAGCACACUAGCACAUUCCACUUCGCAACAAAACCUGCGUGUUUUCUGCCCGGUCUACCUCAGACAGGGAUGGUGGGCUUCAUAGCCUUUCCUGUGGAAGGAGUUCAGGGCGGGAGGGAAGUGCUGGGGUAGGAGGGGCAGGCAGAACCUGGAAACUGCGCCCCAUUCUUUCUUCUCGGAACUCCAUUGCCAGAGGGCUUGGAGUGCUUCUCGGCGAUUUGGCAUCUGCUUCUCCUCUGCCCCUCAUUCAGAGUUCUCAUUGCAAGAAAAGCAGGGAAAAGGUUCAAAAAACCCUUCAGACUUGGAGCCGUUCCUCGGUGAUAAUUGAACCACCAGAGGUGCUGGCAGGGCCAUGGCGAGAGGCACCUCUAGGAAAUCUCACACAACCCACACUGCUCCCCUCUCCUGCAUGGCAGUGACCCUCCCAUAAAAGGGUACAGCCUGUUGUGCCAGCUUUGCAACUGGGAUCAUUGCAGUCUCUGGCUUUUUGACUCCAGGCGGGCUCCGUGCCCUCCGGGGCCUCUUCUUCCUUGUCAGGCCAGUGGGAGCCACAGAGGCCUCAUUGGCUUCCUAUGAAUAUUAAAUGGGAUUCUCUGUGGGGGAAGCUUCCAUAAGGCAGGAAGGGGUCCCCGGUUGUUGGCUAUUAGUGUUAUUUUCUUUUAAAUCAUCUGUGCUCCUUCAAAGACGACGUAAGAAGCUUGUGCCCUGGCGUUGCAGAAAUCUCUGGCUGUAGGGAUUAAACCUACAUGUCUUCCUGAUGGGGUGGUGAGGACGUAAACGGUGAAUAGUGCCAGCCACAGGGAGCAUUGCAGAGAGUAACCAAGUGUGUGAUAAACAUGCUGUCAUAUGUGUGUAAACGGCCAAGAGACCACUGCUUUUGCCUGAGUGACCUCCGCAAGGACACAGAAAUAAAACAUACAAAAAAGUUGGCACUGAGUGGUCUAGAAUCUUCCAUCUCUGUUUUUUCUUGGUAGAAACUAGCCUCAAAGAAAACAUGUGCUUCAGGUUGACAAGAUCUCCAGUCUACCAAGCCUAUCUGUCCCUGAGAAUUGGUUAUCUAUUGCAGCAUAACCAUUCACCUCCAACUUUAGCUGAUUAAACAACCCUUUCUCAUCUCACACAGUUUCUGGGCUCAGAAGUUGAGAAGCAGCCUAGCUGGCUGACUAGCUGGCUGAGGCUCAGGGGGUCCCUUGGGUCUGCAGUUAUCUGAAGACUGGAUGGGACUGGAGGUGAGGCUUCCAAGCACACUCCUGCGGCCAUCAGAAACCUCAGCUUCCCAAGUGAGUGAUCCAGGAGGGCAAGGAUUUGCCUGGCAGGAAGCUGCGGCCACUUGUGGCCUGGUCUCAGAAGCCCACACCCCCCUUUUGCCAUAUUCUGAGCACACAGACCCCAGCAUGAGGCAGGCAGGCUGGAGCAGGGAGAGCCACAGCAGGCCAGGACCUGGGAAGACUGUCUUGGACGCCGGCCGUCACUCCCAGAUAGCACUAUGUGGCUGAUUGCAUCAAACGACCAUCCAUGCCUUUCCUGCUUCAAGGAUGUGAAUCACAAGCCUGGUGAGGAGCCUCUGAAAUGCACGAGGGAGGGGUGUGUGUACAGCACCCUGGGAGCCUGUUACCAACAAAGGAAAAUGAACCACGGAUGCCAGGUCAUUCCCAACAGCAGAUAGACAUGUGAUUUCACCCAUCUUAAAACAAAACAGAACAGAUUCUCCCAACCCAUGCUGUCAGUAAGCUACGUCCCCAUUGCUCUGCACCCACUCCCAUCAGCCGUCACCCCCACCAUUUAGUCCAUACCACUCUGUGUCUGUGGGGGCAGCACUCGGGUGAUCCCGGCGGUGCCUCUCAGUCCCCUUCCACGGGCCUGUCAGCACACAGGGAAACUCCGACAGCGUCUUCAGCUCACUCCUUGCUCUUCACUUGGCCUCUAGGGUCCCGCUCUUUGGUUCUCAGCUGCCUCUGCUAAUCCCUCUGUUCCCAGCUUCUGAAUAUCGAAGGAACCACAGACUCAUUCCCGGAUUUACUCCUCUUCUCUGUCCACAUGGCUUUAAACACCAUCCUCACACCUCUGACUCCGAAAUUCAUACCUCAGGUUCAGACCACUCCCCGACCCCAAAACUCAUAUAGGGUCUGUCCACCGAACCUCUCCUCUCAGUAGACAUGGAUAAUUCAAAAUGUCCAAACUGAGCUCUUGAUCUCCCUUUCCAAUCCGUCCUCACCUGCAGCCACCCCACCUCAGGUGAGGGCAAUGCCGUCCUUUCUGUUGCUUAGGCCGAAAACCUUGAAGAGCCCCUGAAUUCUCCCUUAUCUUACACAUCACAUCCAGUCCGUCCAAUUACCCUCCUAGUGCAUGUCCAGACACACCUCCUUCCCUCCUUGGUGACGCCCUGGUGGAGCCGCCAUCACUGCCCACCUGAGUGAGUGCAGUGGCUCUCCCAUGGCUGUCCUAUUCCUCUCCUUCCUCUCCAUGGGGAGUUCCUUCCAUCAUGAAGGCUGUGCCACCCUGGCUCCUCGCUCCCCCUUGAACACACCCAUGGGUGUUCCUGCCUAGAGGCCUCGGCACUGCUUUCCCCUCUUCCUGGAACUCUGUCCCCUGGGAUCACCACCUGCCUAAUUUCCCCACCUGUUCCUCGGUUUAUACAAAAACCACCUCCCAACAACGUAGUUCAUGGUAAAGGCACCACCUGCCCUGCUCACCCUGCACCCUGGACCACUGGUCUUGCUCAAUUUUUCUCUUCGCUGAUGCAUCUCUCAUCAUUCUCUAAUGAACUGGGUCAUUCAUGGCCUUUAUAUCUGUUUUUUUGUAAUCUUUCCCUUUUUGGUUCAUUAAAAUAUCAGUCCCUGUAAGGGCAGGGUUUUUUCCCCUUUUUUCUUUUCCAUUGUCAUGUUCCCCAAACCUGCCAUAAUGCCUGGCACGUAGUAGGUGUUCAGUAAAUAUCCAGUGCAUGAAUUCCCUCACCGAUGAGGGAAGCAUGAUAGUUUGAGGGCGCUAUAACAGGGGCCUACAUGAAUUAAUUGUACUAGUUAUUGCCUAUUAUAGAGACAUUUUCAUACUAAGUUGGCUCCUUUAAAAAUGUUUCAGUUAACUCUCUUGGCAUUUAACUUCAUCAUUCUGGGAGAGUGAGAGUCAAGGCACCAGCUGGACGGUGCUGAGAGCGAGCGGUGAGCGUACAGAGGAGCGCUUCUGCUCUUGCUUAGCACACAUUUUUAAUGUCAACACCCUUUUAUAUUAAAAAUAUAUUUUUGAGAGGGCUGGUAGAGUACUGAAAUCUCCCCAGCAUCCACAAUGUAUCAACUACCAAUUUGGAAGUCUUGAAGGAACAGCUUUCUGCCACAGUAAUGCAAUCCCCUUGCGGUGGCCUGUUUCUUCAGCAACCUCCAAACCAGCAGGGUGUGUUUUCUCAUGACUUUCCCGCAAGGUAAAAUAUACCACAGUGAGCCUACUGUUUCAACGGUCAGACUGUUCCCAUGAGGAUGCUAGCCUUUCCAUGGCUACUCGCACCAUUUCAGACAUGGGGGAUGCAUUCGGAGCAUAUUUUAGGCCUUCCCUUUUAUAGAAAGCAUGGUAAACCAAAAAGUUUUACUGAAAGUGUAAUCUCUGAUCAUCAUGGUACAACACUCAAUUAUAGGUUUUAAUGGCAUUCUUUGUUGUUUAUACAUCCAUACAAAUUCCAUUAAACUUCGUGUUUGAAGAUGAUGUUUCCCAAUAGGUAAAAGAACAAGGUAUUUACCAUGUUGACUUUGACUUGAAAGUGAUUCUUAGAAUACCACUGGGCUCUAUACACAGCUGCAAUUUUUCACAUUGUGGUGGCAUCUAGGACUUCCACAACUCAAUAGCAAAAAGGAAAAUAAAAGCACAGCAAAAAUAAAAUUAAAAUGGUCAAAGGGCUUGAAACAUACAUAUCUCUAAAGAUGACAUUUAAAUGGACAACAAACAUGUAAAAAGACACUCAACAUUAUUAAUAAUCAGGGAAAUUUAAAUCAAAGUCACAAUGAGAUAUCACCGCACCUGUGAGGAUGGCUAAAAAAACACAAAACUAGAAGACAACAAGUGUGGGUUGAUGAUGUGGAGCAACUGGACCCUUGUGCACUGUUGGUGGGCAUGCAAAGUGCUGGAGCUGCUCUGGGAAAGAGUGGAGGUGCCUCAAAACAUUAAGAAUAGAGCUCUCCAAGGAUCCAGCAAUCUCACUUCUGAGCAUAUAUCCAAAGGCACUGACGCGAAGAUCUCAAAGGGGAGCUGCACUCCCUUGCUUGUUACAGCGUUAUUCACGAUAGCCAAGGCGUUGAUGCAACUUCAAUGUCCACUGAUGAAUGUAUGAUAAAGACAAUGUGGUAUGCAUGUAGAAUGGAAUAUUAUUCAGCCUUUAAAAUGAAGGAAAUCCUGCCAUUUGCAACCACGUGGAUAAACCCUGAGGAUGUUAUACUGACUGAAAUAGGCCAGACGCAGAAGGACAAAUACUGCUUGAUAGAUACCAUGUAUGUAAUGAAUUUAAAACAAUGAAACUUACAGAAGCAGAGAGUAGAAGGGCGGUUGCCAGGGGCUUGGAGGAGAGGGAAACAGGGAGGUGUUAAUGAAAGAUGAAGAAGCCCUAGAACUCUACAGUUCAGCACAGAGCAUACAGUGAAGUGUGCUUAUUGCCAACAUCAUCAUCAUCAUCAUCAUCAUCAUCAGCAGCAGCAGCAGCAGCAUCAUCGAGUGGGAAGAGACUUUUGGAAGUAAUAGAAAGGCUUAGGGCAUGAUUGUAGUGAUGGCUUCAAAGCUGUCUACUUAUUUCCAAACCCAUUAAGUUGUAUACAUUGAAUAUGCGGUUUUUAUAUGUCAACUACACCUCAGUAAAGCACUUUGGGGGAAAAAACAAUUGAGUUUACUGAAAUUUAUGAGCUUAUUCACGUGUUAAUUCUGAAAAUAAUUUAACAUUUUUAUGAAUAAAAUAAUGCAUUGUGUUCUGGUCAGAAAUGAAGUCCUCGUUCUUGUGCUAGAUUUGUAUCUGUGUCAGUAUUCUGAGAUUUUUUUAAAUUACAGAAAACCUAUUUUUAUAAUUACAUUUUCUUAGAUCCAGUAUUCAAAUACUGACACAUAAAGAAUGGGACACAUAUAAGCAAUCUUCAGAUGUGCCACCACUAUUAUUAAAAUGCACAGGAAUAAUUCAAGAUGUUGAAGGAACACAAUAAAACAUAUUCAACCAGGUGAUCUUCUCUGGACAAACUGCUUAAGGAAGUGUUCUAGCAAAAUAAUUACUUAAACUUAAGAAAGACAAAAACCAACAACAGCCACAUGGCUGUGCACAAAGCCAUGAGGAUGGUGGGUAUGCCUCACACCUGGAACAUGAUCUGUGUAAACUAGAACAGGAUUGAGUGCUUUCCAAAAUGAAUUUCUUCAAAGGCAGUGGACACAAGAAAAAAGAAGGAAACUGUUUUCAAUCACACCAUUGCUAGGGAGAGGGAGGAUUGAAGGGAGCAGUCUUCAAGCUCUUUGCUCAUGAAUGUAAAAGACUGCACAUUUGUAAGUAGGUAUCUAAAUUUUUCUCCAAAGUUUAAAUAGUUGCAAACAAUAUCAUUGACGUGUCAAGUAAAAUUGCCACACCAGUUUCAAAUACAUACAGGGGCAUUGAAAUACCACGUCUGCUUUACACCAGAAUCAUCCACAUGAAAAAAUACUAGGAAAAGCUUUUUAACAGUCAAAAUGUUAAAUUAUUACACGUUUCUUGAAUUUGCAACUCCCUUCUAUUUUUCUAAUUAUUAUUUUUAACCUUACAUAAUAAAUUUUAGAAUAGAAACAUUUGAGGGAUCACUAUAUCAU